rnacentral:rRNA from 1 species
GCGCAGCAGGCGCGAAACUUUACAAUGUGCGAAAGCACGAUAAGGGAACUCUGAGUGCCUCCUAAGGAGGCUGUUCUGAUGUCUAAAAGCAACAGAAGUAAGGGCUGGGUAAGACCGGUGCCAGCCGCCGCGGUAACACCGGCAGCCCAAGUGGUAGCCACGUUUAUUGGGUCUAAAGCGUUCGUAGCCGGCCAGGUAAGUUCCUUGGUAAAUUUAGCCGCUUAACGGUUAAGCUUUCAGGGAAUACUGCUUGGCUUGGGACUGGGAGAGGUCAGAGGUACUCCGGGGGUAGGGUGAAAUCUAUUAAUCCCUGGGGGACCACCGGUAGCGAAGGCGUCUGACCAGACCAGGUCCGACGGUGAGGGACGAAGGCUAGGGGCGCGAACCGGAUUA